rnacentral:rRNA from 1 species
AUUGAACGCUGGCGGCAUGCCUUACACAUGCAAGUCGAACGGUAACAGGUCUUCAGUUGCUGACGAGUGGCGAACGGGUGAGUAAUACAUCGGAACGUGCCCGAUCGUGGGGGAUAACGAGGCGAAAGCUUUGCUAAUACCGCAUACGAUCUACGGAUGACAGCGGGGGAUCUUCGGACCUCGCGCGGACGGAGCGGCCGAUGGCAGAUUAGGUAGUUGGUGGGAUAAAAGCUUACCAAGCCGACGAUCUGUAGCUGGUCUGAGAGGAUGAUCAGCCACACUGGAACUGAGACACGGCCCAGACUCCUACGGGAGGCAGCAGUGGGGAAUUUUGGACAAUAGGCGAAAGCCUGAUCCAGCCAUGCCGCGUGCAGGAUGAAGGCCUUCGGGUUGUAAACUGCUUUUGUACGGAACGAAAAGCCUCUUUCUAAUAAAGAGGGGUCAUGACGGUACCGUAAGAAUAAGCACCGGCUAACUACGUG